rnacentral:rRNA from 1 species
GUGUCAGCAGCCGCGGUAAUACGGGGGGGGCAAGCGUUGUUCGGAAUUACUGGGCGUAAAGGGCGCGUAGGCGGCUCGCUAAGUCGGGUGUGAAAACUCUGGGCUCAACCCAGAGCCUGCACUCGAAACUGACGAGCUAGAGUUCUGGAGGGGAAAGCGGAAUUCCUGGUGUAGCGGUGAAAUGCGUAGAUAUCAGGAGGAACACCGGUGGCGAAGGCGGCUUUCUGGACAGAAACUGACGCUGAGGCGCGAAAGCUAGGGGAGCAAACAGGAUUAGAAACCCUCGUAGUCC